GACGAACGCUGGCGGCGUGCCUAACACAUGCAAGUCGAACGGAAAGGCCCUGCUUUUGUGGGGUGCUCGAGUGGCGAACGGGUGAGUAACACGUGAGUAACCUGCCCUUGACUUUGGGAUAACUUCAGGAAACUGGGGCUAAUACCGGAUAGGAGCUCCUGCUGCAUGGUGGGGGUUGGAAAGUUUCGGCGGUUGGGGAUGGACUCGCGGCUUAUCAGCUUGUUGGUGGGGUAGUGGCUUACCAAGGCUUUGACGGGUAGCCGGCCUGAGAGGGUGACCGGCCACAUUGGGACUGAGAUACGGCCCAGACUCCUACGGGAGGCAGCAGUGGGGAAUAUUGCACAAUGGGCGGAAGCCUGAUGCAGCAACGCCGCGUGCGGGAUGACGGCCUUCGGGUUGUAAACCGCUUUCGCCUGUGACGAAGCGUGAGUGACGGUAAUGGGUAAAGAAGCACCGGCUAACUACGUGCCAGCAGCCGCGGUGAUACGUAGGGUGCGAGCGUUGUCCGGAUUUAUUGGGCGUAAAGGGCUCGUAGGUGGUUGAUCGCGUCGGAAGUGUAAUCUUGGGGCUUAACCCUGAGCGUGCUUUCGAUACGGGUUGACUUGAGGAAGGUAGGGGAGAAUGGAAUUCCUGGUGGAGCGGUGGAAUGCGCAGAUAUCAGGAGGAACACCAGUGGCGAAGGCGGUUCUCUGGGCCUUUCCUGACGCUGAGGAGCGAAAGCGUGGGGAGCGAACAGGCUUAGAUACCCUGGUAGUCCACGCUGUAAACGGUGGGUACUAGGUGUGGGGUCCAUUCCACGGGUUCCGUGCCGUAGCUAACGCUUUAAGUACCCCGCCUGGGGAGUACGGCCGCAAGGCUAAAACUCAAAGGAAUUGACGGGGCCCCGCACAAGCGGCGGAGCAUGCGGAUUAAUUCGAUGCAACGCGUAGAACCUUACCUGGGUUUGACAUGGAUCGGGAGUGCUCAGAGAUGGGUGUGCCUCUUUUGGGGUCGGUUCACAGGUGGUGCAUGGCUGUCGUCAGCUCGUGUCGUGAGAUGUUGGGUUAAGUCCCGCAACGAGCGCAACCCUUGUUCACUGUUGCCAGCACGUUAUGGUGGGGACUCAGUGGAGACCGCCGGGGUCAACUCGGAGGAAGGUGGGGAUGACGUCAAGUCAUCAUGCCCCUUAUGUCCAGGGCUUCACGCAUGCUACAAUGGCUGGUACAGAGAGUGGCGAGCCUGUGAGGGUGAGCGAAUCUCGGAAAGCCGGUCUCAGUUCGGAUUGGGGUCUGCAACUCGACCUCAUGAAGUCGGAGUCGCUAGUAAUCGCAGAUCAGCAACACUGCGGUGAAUACGUUCCCGGGGCU
rnacentral:rRNA from 1 species